AUGUUCCUUCAGAUGGUCUUGUGUCUGAUUCAGGUCCUGGGGGGUUCAGUGAGUGUGUUUGUGUCAGAGUCAGAGAGCUGUGUCUCUCUACAGUCAGAGGUUUUUGUACGGCGGCUCAAUGACUUUGUAUCACUGUGGUACACGUUCGGUGGAGGAACCAGACUGGAUGUUGGAAGUGAUACGCGUCCCACCCUGACGGUGCUUUCCCCCUCCAUUGCUGAGCUGCAGAAGGGGCAUGCCACGCUCAUGUGCCUGGCCAACAAGGGCUUCCCCUCAGGCUGGAGUCUGGCCUGGAAGGUGGGUGGUGGCAGCAGCAGCAGCAGCAUCAGCUGGGAGGAGAGCAGGAGCCCUGCUGUGCUGGAGAAGGACGGCCUCUACAGCUGGAGCAGCACCCUGAGCCUCACUGCAGACCAGUGGAGGAAGGUGGGCUCUGUGACCUGUGAGGCCACUCAGGGCUCUCAGACUCUGGUCUCACAGUCCAUGAGCAGAGACCAGUGUCCCCAGUCCUGAUCUGCCUCACUGGGACCCUGAUUGUGUUUGUUCUCUGUUCCUGCUCUCAGUCUAAACUCUCUGUCUCUGGUUCUCUCUUUCAAUCAUGACAUGUUUCAUGUUUCAACAUUUCACUGUUUCCUCUCAUGCUGAUGGAUUCAAUGUUUUAAAACAAUAAAGAUUUUAUUAUCAUCAAA